UACAGAGGGUGCGAGCGUUGUCCGGAAUCACUGGGCGUAAAGGGCGCGUAGGUGGUGGCUUAAGCGUGCGGUGAAAGCUCGGGGCUCAACCCCGAGUCGGCCGUGCGAACUGGGCUCACUGGAGCAUAGUAGAGGCAGGUGGAAUUCCGGGUGUAGCGGUGGAAUGCGUAGAGAUCCGGAAGAACACCGGUGGCGAAGGCGGGUCUCUGGGCCGAUACUGACGCUGAGACGCGAAAGCGUGGGGAGCAAACAGG
rnacentral:rRNA from 1 species